rnacentral:snRNA from 1 species
AGCUUUGAGCAGCGGCAGUACCGUAGCCAAUGAGGUUGAUCCGCGGUGCGAUUACUGCUAAUUGAAAACAAGGUUGCCAGGCCUGCUUUCCGGUGAUUAGCAUUUGCUUAGUACCCUUCCCAUUAAUAGCUUUUCUGUUCCUGUGUCACUGUCAUUGUCUUUUAUAAGA